GCCAGGCCGCGCGUGGUGUUGCCAUGGGGAUCAGAGCCCCGGGCUGAAGGUUUCCGCGCUUGGAGACCGCGCCUCCGCGGAGGUAGCAGUUCCCCCUGCCCUAGCCAUGGCUCAGAACAGUGACAACCACGACCCUGUCGGAUCCAUUUUAAUCCAGGUCCAUGAAGACCUUCAUCAGUUAAAGGAGAAAUUAACAAAAUUCUCACUUGAGGAAAAAGGAGAGACUCUAGACAUUGAGAGUCUUGAAACAGCAAUCAAAAGGACUGAAAUGGGGCUAAGAAUUCACAUUGAGAAAUAUUUGAAUGUUGUAAACCAGAAUGUAUUAACGACUUCUGUUAAUGAUGAGAGCUUCUAUACUCCCCAGGCUUCCAAAUGGUUACUUCCAACUGUAAUUGAUCAGAAAUCAUUUGCUUUCCCUCUGGAAUCUGAGGGUAAACUUUGGCAACCACAAAGACAGCACAGUUCAUCUCUGCCUAUCUUUCCAAGAGCAAAGCGAAAGAUAGGGUUGAAUGUAAAAAUCAUGCAGGAUCCUGAAAACAUCCGCCACAGAGCUGCUGUAAAUGCGAACUAUGGAAUCAAUUUGCCAUAUAUUAAUCAGAGAAAAGCAUGUGUAAAGGUUCAGAAGUUAAUCAAAGGGUCUACCAUAUCCAACCUCACAGUUCUGCCAUCUUCUCGCCGCACAGAUUCCUAUUUAACUCCUAUACCAGUCUUACAAGCAGAUGCCAACAGAGGAAUUUUAAGUCUGAUAGAACGAGGGCUGAUUCCACCAACAGCAAGGAUUACCUUUCAGAAUCCACCCAUUAUACCCAAAGCAGCUCCUCUGCAUUAUUUGAAUGAAGCACGUAAUAUUCCAACCGCAGUCUCUUUCACCGUACCUCAGGAACCACUGCCACCUCCAGCAGAAGUGAAGUUCUUUCCCAAGAAACAGAGUUCAAAGGGGAAAAGCAGGUCAAGAGGACAUCAUGAUAGGAAGGCCAUGAAAGUCACAACACCUUCAAGAGUCCUGAAAUCACCAUGGGAUUAUGACUUUUUAAUUUAUGAUGGUGUCAUAGACAAUACAGCCCCAGACUUCUUAGCAUUCAAGGAACAUUUUAACUUAGCUUGGGGAGGUAUUUUUUCUCUCUUGGAACAUGUCAUGAAGUUUCUCAGGAACUAUGCAAUACCAGAAGUCAAAAUUAAAGGGAAUCAUUUGGUGGCCCUCCUUCCAGAGUUUGAGCUGAAGAAUAAACUUACCAGAUAUGACUUUCUCUCAGUGUUAGAGGACCCAGCUCAUGUUCAAAUGCUGAUGAAUCUUCCAGGCCAAAGGUACAAGGGCCAAGAUGGAGAGACGGAGGCCGCCAUAAAGAUCCAAGCCACAUGGAAAUGCUACAAAGCAAGAAAGCUCUUCCUCAUUCAUCGCCAGCAGAAGUGGGCAUCAGGUGUGAUUGCCAUUGCUUGGCUGUUACAUUGCCAUAAGACUCGACUAAAGAAGAUACUAAAGGAAUCACGUCAGAGACACCUGGAGAAUUUCCGCAUUCGAGCCAAGCAUCUGGCAGCCAACUGGAAUCGCAUCAGGACCUCCAGGAGGACUAUUAUCCAUAUCCCAUCAUUAGGGUAUUCCCAGCCUGUGAGAGAACAUAUUGCUGAUUUCGACAUACAGCAGAACAUGCAGCUGGGGAGGCUGUGUGACAUCUUAGAUGCCAAUGUGAAUGUCAUCUACAUCUGCUCCCAUCAUAUGAAUGACGAGCUAGUGCAGUAUUACAAAAAAAUCCUAAAUCUACACGCAGCUGUCAAAUCGGGGAACCUUGAGGACAGAAGUGACCUGCAGAACAGGUUCAAAAUUAUCACCCCUGAAGCUGUAAACAUCUUCCCUCAGCAUCAUAUGUGCCUGGCCACUCACCUGAUGUACAGUCCCAAGGCAAUCAAAAGAAUUAAAAAUCUCAUCCAAGGAACAGAGGCCUACAUCGUCAGCGGACUCCUCCACAGAGAUGAUUUAGCUGUGGCCGAUAUGUUAGACAUACCCAUCCUGGGCUCUGAGCCUGAACGAGCUCAUCUUUAUAGUACCAAAUCUGGAGGUAAACGUGUCUUUGACAGUGCCAAUGUGGCAGUUCCUCCUGGAAUUUAUGACAUUUAUAGUCAGCAACAGAUGAUAGAGCAGCUGAGUCAGCUGAUAACUGACCACCUGCAAAUACAGCGCUGGCUCUUUAAAAUGGACUAUGAGUUCCGAGGAAAUGGGACUGCAUUUUGUGACAUUCCUUCCUACCUAAAGUGCUACAAAUGGGUCCUAAAGGAGAGUAGCAGAUAUGGCCUUGAAGACUGGAGAAAGAAAUGGGCACAACCGUCAUAUGUUUUUGAAGACAUUUCAAGGAAAUUUAUGUAACUGCUGGUCCCUGUGAGAUGCUGAGAAAAUAGUACAUCCCAGCCAGAAAAUCUCCCAGCAAAAGCUGAGCUCCAGAACUAAGGCAGCAAACAGAAGACACAUUUCAUGCCGUAGAACUCCCUGCACUUCCACCUCCAUUGUGAAGACCUCUGUCCAUUCAGAGUGGCCCCGGAACUAGGUCACAGAAGGCAUUGCAGGAUGGCUGAGCUUGUUGCCCCAUGUAUAAUUUAAUGACAGAAUUGCUGGUGUCCUUUUCCCACAAGGCAGCAAACUGGGAGAUAAAGGGACCCAUCAAGACACACACCUCAGAGCUGGAGAGGAGGAGCCCUGCCUGGGAGUUUCUAGGAUUCAGCUCUUGCAACCCAACUGCCUCACAUACCUGGUUAUGUGCAUGGGUGAUGAGAGAGAACUUUAGACAUCACCCUUUGAUUGUUCAUGGGAAUGACAGAUUUCCAGUGCCUUUCUCAAUUUAAUACACGAUUGUGAUCAUUUUAGUGAGUCUGUAGAUUCCCAGAAAGCUUGGAGUAGACUACCUUCACAGUCAGAUGUAGCAUUAAAAAUGUGGUAAGCGUUUUAAACCCUGGUUUUAGCCCAGAGCGGUUGAUCACUCCUGUAAUAUUUUGUAAUCCCAACACUUUGGAAAGCGAAGGUGGGAGAUGGCUUGAGGGCAGAAGUUCAAAACCAGCCUGGGCAACAUAGUAAGACCCUGUCUCUGCAAAAAAUUUAAAAAUUAGCUGGGCGUGGUGGUGCGUGACUCUAUUUCCAGCUACUUAGGAGCCUGAAGCAGAGGAUCCUUUGAGCCCAGGAGUUUGAGGCUGCAGUGAGCCAUGACUGCACCACUACUCUCCAGCCUGGGUGACAGAACAAGACCCCUAUCUCUAAAAGCAGAAACACUGUUUUUUUUUUCAAAAAUAAGUAACCAAAUAUUCUAUUUGUUUUGUUGUAAUGUUUUUAGUCUCCUAUUCCAGGUUGACAAAGUAAACAGCCUUUUAAGCAGAAUGAGUAUUGGAAAAGGAUAGUCAUUCAGGGUAACUAAGAGGUAGUUUGGCUUCCUGGGGUUCCAUAGCCCAGGGACACCUAGUUUAGAUGCCCGUGCUUACUGGGGGAUAACCAUAGGGAAAUUAAUUCAGCUCCCCAAGUCUCCUUUUCUUCAUCAGUAAAGAGAGAUUAGUACCUGUCUCACGGGGAGGUGGUGACAAGUAAAUGAGAUAACUGUGAAUUGGCUAGCAGUAUGCUUAGAGCAUGAUGACUUUAAGAAAUGCUACCUAUUGUUGUUGUUGUUGUUGUUGUUAUGAGAUUAAACUGUAUUAAAACAAAAUGCAGGUAACAUUGAACAAGCACAUACAGCUUAAUCUUUCUUUGGUGAUUUAGAAAGUUCUUUAGGCUCUGGUAGGCUUCCAGGAUAUUGCCAUCUACUUCCAUCAGCCAUCAUUAUAUGAGGCUGUGGCUGCUGAAGAUACAGAAUGUUGAUUGAUCUAGUUGUUCCCAGCCUACGCUUUACCCGGACAGUGUCUUCGAAAGAAUAAGUCUUCAUAGCGGGCUGCUUUCUUAUGUUUUAGAAAUAUAAGACAGUUCCAUUUAUUUGAACUUCCUAUGAGUUGAAUAAAGAGGCUUGACAAAGUAGAGAUUAUUCUGACCGAAAGAUUGCAACCCGGUGGCUUGAUUUUCUGGUUCCAGUUGGUGUAUUUUCUAAUUAGUGUAGCAGCACGUCACCACAAUCACUGGAAAGUCUUAAUCAUUUACAUAUUUGUCUUUAUCUCUGAGAAUGACUUAGAAUGUUUUCUUCCAGUUCAGUGGUUAUUUUCAUGAAGCUGCCAGGGUUGAGUGUGAGGUGCUUCUCUGUGCCUGAGGAAGAUGACAGGAGAAGGAAAAUUGCCUCCCCAAGUGAAAUGAAAGCCAGGGCACCCCUUCUGAGGACCUAUAAUCAUCAGCUACACAAGCUGUUGGUUUGCGUGUCCUAUUGAUUUAAUAUGCUUCUAAUCAGUACAUAAAGCUAUGGGCCUGCAGUGUUAAUUUUUCAUAUGCUUACAAAGUACCCUUUGAUUUUCUGUCACACGUUAAUUACAGCGUUUUGCCAUUAAAUAGGAAGCUUUGUGUAAACUAAUUACUAGGUAAUCAUUGUCUACUGCAAGCGUGCUGUUUGUACCUUUUAUUUUAUUCUAAAAAUGCACAGAUCUCACAGUCUGGAAACACUCUACCUUCCAGCCAUUAGCUCUCACUAAUUCAUAGCAUUAUUGUGGUGAGAGUGUAGGAGUUGUAAUUGUUGUGGUAUCAGAGCUGUUAAUUACCGGAGUAAACAGUUGAAAUGGUGCCAAGGUCUAUUGUACAAGGCAGAGAAAAGGAGGUUUAAAUGUUACUCCCACCAUCUGGGGACUGGAGGAGAGGCAAAUGCUUGAAAACAGCAGUGAGGCGCUAUCGCCGCUUCAGCUCCAGGGUUGGCGGCCAUAUGGAUCCCGAAUAUUUUGAAUCAAUUGAAUUUAACUGCCAGUUUUUUGCAAUAACAGCGUGGAAGGAAGGAAUAAAGCAAAAGAUGAGAGGAACGAGAAUUGGUUAGUGUUCUCACAUCCAGGAAGUCCCCGUUGGAGGUCUUUUGGAAAGGUCCGCUUUGCUGGAAACCACAGAGCAGGCAUGGGCAUUUGGAACGGUUUCAGAAUGAGUUUUACUCUCCUCUGACGGUGACUGCGCCAUUUGCUUCUGGUCGUCUGUCCUUGGUGCCCCUCGGUGAGACAGGGAUGCCCUUGAGAAGACUCAGACUUUCCUGUCACUAUGCCAGAUCCAACAAAAACCCUGACUUUGGAAUUUGCUGAUUUACACCAUCCUGGCAUUUUAACAAGCAUAGUCCGUCAAAAGAAAACAAUCAACAUGUAAUGCUACUACAUCUGCCUCAAGUGUAUGCAUCUUCACAUAUGGAAAUAUCAAAGAAGGCACAGCUCUUCACUCUGAUUAAGAAAAGCCGCUGCUUGCCCAUUCCUUUUGCAUAAAAUUAAAAUAUAAAUUCUCCUGAUAGUCUCUCAUUUCAUUCCACAAACUCAUUCCUCUCCCCCACUACUUGGAUGAAAAAUCAAGUCCAAAGGGCACAUGUGUUUCCUUUUGUUUUUAAUUUUCAAUUAAAGAGCUUUCAUCAGCAUAUGCAAUCUUCUCAACCAGCGAUAUUUCUCUAAAUGGAAAGAAAGACCCUAUUACUAGUAAUGAUAAUUAUGGCUACUUCCACUUAUGGCUGAUUUUAAAACCACAUGGUUUCUGCUUUAAAAUAUUGCAUAAUCUUUAGAACAGGCAUGUGUAUUUACUUGAUGUCACUCUUGUAUUUCAAUAUAAUUUCCUUAAGACCAUUUUCCAAUGUUAAAAAUAUUUUUAAAACACCAGUCACUUGCUGCUGUAACUACUUUUUAAUAUCAUUCCCCAAACGUGAACAUACUCUUCUUUUUUUAAACCACCCUGGAUUAUUUAUUUUUAAUUGUUCCUUUAGCAGAUGUUGAAGUAGUUUCAGGGAGUAGCGUCAACAACUCCUUGAAAGAAAAAGAUCACAGGCCCUCACAUACACCAUGAACCACGGACAGGGCUUGUCAGGGCUUUGAUGAUGGCACUUUUGUCCCAGGGAAAAAUUUUCCUGCCUUUGUGUAUGUGCAAAGUUCAAUCAAGAAUUUCAAGAAGCAUUUAAUCUUUAUCUAUUGAAACCGCCAGCAUGCAGCGCGCAGGGGGUGAGCCUAGAAAGAAAACCACAGCCCCCUGUGGUGAGGGGAAAAAAAGAAACAGCAGUUUAAGUGCUGGAAAGUUGAAAGGGAAUGAACCUCUCUAGUGUUUGUGGUCGGGGGCAAAGCAGUUGUGCUGAGCUUUGGAAUGGAGGCACAACAUAUGUGCCUCAGUUGGACAAAACGCUUCUCGAGUCAAAUCAACUGCUAGGCCUGCAUGUUGGUGCAAGGUGGAGGCCUAGAUAAUGAGGGACAGACUCCUCGAGAAGCAGUGAGUGGAUAAUGCCACAUAAGUAUGGAAUUAUAUACCGCAUUUUCACCAUUCUGUUUAAUGAGAGCCGCCACCGCAGCGAAUCACUUGCCACACAGCCGAAAUGGGCCAUUAGCUAUCAAGGGAAAAUUGUCUUUGCUGCUUUCAGCAGAUGGAGCAAAUAUUUUACAAAGCAAUUUUACAUACCAAAAACAUUUGUGUGCCUUGGUAAUGUUGGCUGUUUUACAUUAUGCUACCUUCUACAGCAGCAUAAUUUUCCAUCUCAUCGAAGGCAAAGUUGGCAUUUUUGAUUUUUAAAUUCUCAAUUAACAAUUAAACAUGGAGUAUUAAAGCAGUCCUUAAACUUUAAGUAGGUGUGGGAAGUAGUUUAUGACUUGCCAAAGACAUUUUCAUUUUUUCUUCAUCCUCUCAGCAUAUUUUUGCACUCUAAAGAGGGACUAUUUCUAAUAAUUUUGAUGGAAAAGAAUUGAGUGGAAACUCCACUACUGAUUGCAGAAUGAGAGUUAGCCCUGCACACAGUGAUCAGAGCAUUUGCUGGCUUAAAACCCCCAUCACGGAUAGUGGAUACACAGUUUAGUUCACCCAUUUGCAUCAGUUUAAAAUGUUUUAAGUUUCAAGUAACAGAAAACCCAACUCAAAAUGCCUUUAAAAAUGAUGAGAAUGUAUUAUCUCACAAUGGCUUUACAAAUAAAGAGAACUUCUUAUCUCAGCUAACGAAAAAUUCAAACAUUGGUCUGGCUUCUGACACGGCUCAAUGAUGUCACCAAGGCUCCAGUUGCUUUCCACUUCUCCUCUGUACUGUGCUCCGUUCUAAGGCUUGCCAUCCUUAGGGUUAUAAGAUGGUUGCCAGUAGCUCCAGCAGUUUGCCCCUGCUCAAGGCGAUAGGAAGAUAGAACACAUCUCACCUGGUUAGCAUUCUCAGAAGAGCAUAAAUCUACUUUCUCAGAAGGCCCCGGGAAGUGCUUCCUAAUAUUUGAUUGGUCUAAUUGGGUCAUGUGCCCAUCCUGAACCAAUCACUGUAGCCAGGAUGUGGUUUUGCUCAUCAGGGCCAAUCCUUGCAGCUGAGUUGGGGAGCAUCCCUCUCAAUAACUCACAGAGGCAUAGGGAGAGGACGGGUCAUGAAAGAAGUUAGAAAUGUCAUUUCCCUAAAGAGAGGACAUUGAUGCUGGGCAGCCAAUAACAGAGGUCUGCGCUACCAUAUUUUCAUAAAUUUGACUGCUCUGACUUAGCGUCACCUGUGGAUGAUGUAAUCCAACCCAGAGGGAGCAUCUGUGGCAGUUACUAGCACAGAUUCCACUACACUGUGACACGCUGUAGCAAGUGGGUUUGAAUCCUUGUUUUGCUACUUUAUGUGCCAUUGCGACAUGAAGAAGGGAUGAUACUAUCUACCUCACAGAGUGGCUGUGAGAUAAUUAAUGUAAGCCACCCCCAGCCCUGCACAUGCCUACCACAUGGUGAGUUGUUAAUACAUAAAAGCUGUUAUUUAGCCUAAAGAGUGAAGUCACUUUAGUCAAUGAGGGCAGUAUUAAGCUUUAGUCAUUAGCUUUAGUCACUGAGUGCAGUGGAUAUUCUGCUGUCUUCCCCUAAGAUAUCUUGGAUUUCAGUCAGUCAGACAUCUCUUCCUUCACAUUUACGCUUUCUUGACAGAAAAAGAGAGCAAGAGGCAAGGUACAUACUUGGUAGACAAGAAUCUCUGGGGUGCAUCAGUCAGGCUGCUGGAGCCUCCUGCCUUCUGCAAAUGUCUUGGAACCUUCCGAGGUCCUGACGAUUGUUGAUGCACUCUGAGAAGUAAAUGUGGGCAUUGGACAAAGGGGCGGGGGCAAGCCUGUGCAGUGGCAAAGAUGGGGCUGAAAUUUCUUUUGAUGGAUAUUGCCAUAGAGCUAUCAGCGCCACAAAGCUAGCAGCUAAUUGCAUUCCCAGAGCCAGUGCAAUCAAGAUGGAAUGAAAAUAUGGAAUUCUGACUUUUUUUAAAAGUCAAGUGUAUUUUUCUACCACUUGUUUAUUAUCCACAAGGUAUAUAUUUCUCUUUCCACACUCCCCAAGUCAUUUGCUCUAAAUGAUCUGCUCAACAUGGAUGAUACAUUCUCUGAAACACUGAUAUGGUCAUCCAUCAUCCAUCGCUUUGGUGUUACUCAAUGCAAAAAACUACCUAACUACUCAUUUCCCAAGAGUUUCGCUCUUGUUGCCCAAGCUGGAGUGCAAUGACACGUUCUUGAUUUACUGCAACCUCUGCCUCCCGGAUGCCAGCGAUUCUCCUGCCUCAGCCUCCCAACUAGCUAAGAUUACAGGCAUGCGCCACCAUACAUGGCUAAUUUUGUGUUUUUAGUAGAGAUGGGGUUUCACCAUAUUGGUCAAGGUGGUCUCGAACUCCUGACCUCAAGUGAUUCCACCCACCUUGGCCUCCCAAACUGCUGGGAUUACAGCUGUUAGCAACCACGCCCGGCUUCAUUUCACAAAUUUUUAAGAUAAAGAUGUGCCCCUGCUGCUGGCUUAUAACAGCUAUUCAGUAUAUGUACACUUUGGGAAGGUAGGAAAGGGAGGACAAAAGCAAGCUAGCAAUGGUCCCUCUAACUCUGUUAUUUUCCGUCUUUAAUCAUUUGUUGAAACUUAAAACUCACCAAGUGAUCUUACACGAGGCCUCUCAUUCUUAGUGCCUCAGUGUCCCGUUUUAACACAGGAGAAAUAACACAGUGGUGGCUGCCGCAGAGUGUUGCUGAAAGGAAGGAAUGAGAUCAUGAGUGUGAACUUGUGACGAGAGAAUUUUACAAAUACCGUCCUCAUGAUUCACAUGAAUUGGAGUGUUUGUCUGUUAUGGAAGGGGUGUGUGUGUGUGUGUGUCUCUCUCUCUGUGUGCCUAAGUUUGUUUUGAACAGAAUAAACUUGAAUAGCUACAGAUCUUCCCUACAGGGCAGAUGCUCUUGGAGUUGUAUAAUUAUGUUUGAACUAUGCAAAAUGAUACAAACUAGAGAAUAGAUACCCUCCCAAAAACUGAGAGCUUGCACCUGAUGUUGAUAGACCGUUUGUGGCCAUUGGGACCUUGCUUCUUGGAAAAAGGGUGUUCUUAGCUUGUUAUGCCACUGCUGUGAUGGAGUCUUUUGCUUCUGGAUUUGAGCUGUGGCCUAACCCACCAGCUCACAAGCAGCUUCUUAGUCCCAGCAGAAACCAGGCUGUAAAGGGUUGUUUUAUUGGGGGGAUAAAAUAAAAUGAAACUCUUACCAAGAAUGUCGCUUUUCUGACCUUACUUAAAUAUAUGAGCUGCAGGUCCUGCUGUAUGUUUUUCGUUGGUUUCGUAGGGGUGGGAAGACAAUUUUCAUUGGUACUAAGGCCGUUCUUAGUAUAAUCCUUGUAUUUCCCAUUAGACACUUUCAAAAUAAAGAAAUAAACAGUUACUACCCCUCUCCUCUUAGCCCACAUUAUUCCUCUCCAUGUCUUUUUCUUCGAGAAUGAAUCAUGGCCCCAAGCUGCCUCUGUGUGCCCCAGCAUCCCUAUUGAAUGUCACCCUGCCAGUGCCUUCAGCUGUGUACCUCUCAUGGCGGGACACGAUUACUCCUCCAGAUUCCAGCAGCCAACUUUCCUCUAGGAAAUUUACCCCCUUACUGUGGCUUUGUGCACAGUGAAAACUCUAAGCAACGAAGCAGAAUGGCUGGCUUUGUGAGCAGAGGCGGUGGCAGAAGCCUGGCACAGUGUCCAGAUGCCACACACAGGCAGCAGGCUUAUGAAUUACUUAUUGGCCCCCACGUAGUAUGUUGCAUCUGAGGUGACACUUCAUAAAUGCUACCUCAUUUAUCUUCCCGAUACCCUUUAGAGGCAGGGAAUCCCAUAAAGUCUAUCCAGGAAGAAUCUAUGGUUCUUAAGCAGCCUUCCCUCCAGCUGCUUCCUGGGCAGCAAGGAGAAGCCCAUUGAGAGGUUUCAUGUUUUGUCUUAUUCUGUAACUUCAGCUUUAAGGACUACGUCAUGUGUUUACUACCAUCAUGACUCAUUCCACAAACAUUUAGUGUUCCCUGUGCUAGGCACUGGGAGACCAACCUCAAAGCCAGCCCCCAUGCCGUUAAGCAGCCCCGAGAGAGCUGGAGAGCAGGGAGAAAGGACACACAACUCGCAACUCGGGCGGGUCAGAAGACUUCCUGGAGGAGGUGUGGCUGGAACCACCUCAGGAAGGAUGAGGAGGAGUCAGCAAAGGGAGGAAAAGAAAGCAGGGAGGCAGAGGAGGACCUAAUAGGGGAAGGAUGGGAGCUGGGCAGGAAAGUGAGGCUGUUAGGAGUCAGAGGUCAUAUCACGAGGACCUUCUGCAUCUGUUGUGUUGAGGAGUUUCGACUUGAUCCUAAAGUUGAAAGAGAUUUUUCAAGAUUUAGGUGGCAAGGCUUUUACCUGCUCCUUUGCCACCUUUUCUCCCUCUCUCCAACACCAAAAAAAACCCCAAAAGAACCCAAAAUACAUAACCACUUUUUUUCUAGUUCAGUUGUUUAAAAGACCUGAUAUUCUGUAAUUUUUGAUACAUAGAUGAAUGAAUGAACAAUUUCUCUUUAGACUCUCUUGGUAUGAAUGACCACAUAGUGUAUAACCGGGCAGAUGAUUUCACAUUCUCCAGCAGUGGGGCAGAAAAGGCCAUUUAAUCAAGACAGAACAAAGAAAUUCCCACUUUCCUGAGAGAGGGCCUGGGCUAUGAGACUUUCUUUCCUUGCCAUUCUGUUUUCCAGAGAAGAGUGGGACUUCAACCCUGCCGUGUUUCAUUGUCCCAGCUUUGGGGCGCUUCAUAAAUCAGAGACAAUUGGUCUUCCUUGAUAAAAUGGAAUGGUUUUAACUGAAACAAGUGUAAAACAAAACAAAGAUGGGUUUGGGGGACUGUGCAGAGAAGGAACAAAUAAGGAGUCCAGGUUGCUGGAGCUGCACCUCCCACACGCUUGUUUAUAAUUUAGAUAUACGGCUUUGGGGCGAUCAGGUAAUUCACAGUAAAGACCAGAGAAAAUGUGCGCAGCGUAUGGGAUAUGAAGGGAGGGGAAAGGCCCAUUGCUUUGACAGCAGUUCUGCUUGCCUCUGCACCACAAGGCAGAGCUCUCUGCAUGAGCACUUCCCCAGCCCUUCUUAACAGACCUUCUCCCACUGUGUAGGGACUCAUCCGCAAGUGAGUGUGAGCCAGGGCACUCUCCACUUCUCAUGGCAUUUCUGUUUUGUAUGUCAAGCACUUACUAAAACAACUAAUGAAACUCUCCCACCAAGAUUUUCUGGAUAUUUCAGAAAUUAUUCAGAUUUUCUGAACCUGCCGAGAGCACAAUGUCAGAUGUUUGUCUUCUAUUGUGGAUUGUCAGUGGGCACUGGACCUAGAAUCAACCAGCUGUUCCAAGGAGUUGGGGUGGGCAGUGCAUAGAGGACAAUCACUUUUUAAUGGUAGGGAAAUUGGAAAUAAGUGUGUAGGAUUUUUUUUUUUUUUUUUUUUUGAGAUGCAGUCUUGCUCUGUAGCCCAGGCUGGAGUGCAGUAGCGUGAUCUGGGCUCACUGCAGCCUCUGCCUCCUGGGUCCAGGUUAAGUAAUUCUCUGGCACCACUAUGUCCAGCUAGUUGUUGUAUUUUUAGUAGAGACGGGGUUUCUCCAUGUUGGCCAAGCUGGUCUUGAACUCCUGAACUCAUGAUUCCCCACCUCAGCUUCCCAAAGUAAUGGGAUUACAGGUAUGAGCCACUGUGUCCAGCAUAUGUAUAAUUGAUUAUAUUCCAAUCCCACCCCCAAAGCCAACUCCUCCAAAUUACUGAGCCAUCACUGAGAUUCAGAAGUUCCCCUGCAACCUAAAGCAGAUCUGAGUUUUUCUUGUCAGUGCCCCAUAUUUUGAAUAUGAAUAUUGUCUAUCAUGAGUUUCUAUCAAGUACCCUGCCUCACUUCUGGCAGAAAUAAAAUCUGAAGAGGUGGCUUCUAUUUGAAAAUGUUUAGAUAAUCUAAGAGGAAGAGCAUCACAACUUAGGACAUCUAAAAAAAUAUGUCCCGGCAAACCAAGGCUUUUUAUAUCAAAAGCCAGACUUCUUAUUCACUAGAGGAUUCCCUACUGAUUUCAUUUUGACAGGAGGCCCUUCAGUCUUUGGGCUGUUUUAUAGAUGGUAUGGGGCCAGCCUCACAUCCAGACAGUUGAGACUGUGACCUAGGGGGGAUUUCAGGCAGACUGAGGCUGGCCCCAAUACUCCUUCCCACCUAACUCUUCCAACUCAUCCCUACCUAAAAUCCCACCUUUACAGCCUCAGCCCAUAGUUUAAGGCUUUGAUGAUGAAGUUGUAGGACGCAGACAUCCACCAACAAGGGGGAAACAGCACAGAUUAAAGAGAUGGAAGAUGACUGGAUGCCGUAGCUCAUAGCUGUAAUCCCAGCACUUUAGAAGGCUGAAGCAGGAGGACUCCUUGAGGCCAGAAGUUUGACACCAGCCUGGACAACAUAGAUCCAUCUCUACAAAUAUUAGCCAUGCAUGGCACGCACAUGUAGUCAAGGCCAAUUGGGAGGCUAAGGCAGGAGGAUCACUUGAGCCCAGGAGACUGAGGCUUCAGUGAGCUAUGAUCACAUGACUGUACUCUAGCCUGAGUGACAGAGCAAGACCCUGUCUGAAAAAAUGUUAAAAAACAUUUUUUCACGCCUGUAAUCCCAGAACUUUGGGAGGCCGAGGCAGAUGGAUCACAAGGUCAAGAGAUCGAGACCAUCCCAGUCAACCUGGUGAAACCACGUCUCUACUAAAAAUACAAAAAAUUAGCUGGGCACGGUGGCACGUGCCUGUAAUCCCAGCUACUCAGGAGGCUGAGGCAGGAGAAUUGCCUGAACCCAGGAGGCGGAGGUUGCGGUGAGCCGAGAUCACGCCAUUGCACUCCAGCCUGGGUAACAAGAGGGAAACUCUGUCUCAAAAAAAAAAAAAAAAAAAAAAUUUAUUAUAUGGAGGUGGCCGGGUGCGGUAACUGACGCCUGUAAUCCCAGCACUUCGGGAGGCUGAGGCGGGCAGAUCACCUGAUGUCAGGAGUUCAAGACCAGCCUGACCAACAUGGAGAAAUCUCAUCCCUACCAAAAAUACAAAAUUAACCAGUCAUGGUGGCACAUGCCUGUAAUUCCAGCUACUAGGGAGGCUGAGGCAGGAGAAUCACUUGAACCCAGGAGGUGGAGGUUGCGGUGUGCCAAGAUCAUGCCAUUGCAUUCCAGCCUGGGCAACAAGAGCAAAACUCUGUCUCAAAAAAAAAAAAAAAAAAAAAGUAAACACUCAAUCCCACAUUUUAUAUAAAGGGAAACUGAGACCCAGAGUGGGGAAGGCUAUUGCCCAAGGACACUCUGCUAGUCAGGCUGUCGGCAGCAGUGGGUGUGAGACCUGGUUUCCUGAUGCCCAGAGAGAAAAGUGCCUUUCAGAGACAACAGGCACAAUUAACAAUUUUUAGGGGGCCAAAUCACUUUUGAAAUAUGAAAACUGAAAUGGCUGAAAAAAGAGAGAACAUUUUCAAAAUGGCUUUCUGACUCUGGGUAAACAGUAACCACAUUUUUUUUGCCUGUUGGAGGCCUGGUUUUUAAUCACUCCACAAGCAGUUUUCAUUUCUGUAGUAAAAUUGCUUGUGGUUCUAUUUAAU